CCGCGGGCACGGCUUUCCGAAAGAUUUAACCCUGCACGGGUGCUCCAACUAGUCCAUCACAAAUUACCACAAGCCACAUAGAAAUCCUCAACCACGAAGCUCGCGAUCUCGUCGGAUUCCCUAGGGGAAAACCUCAACUCUGAGAUUACCCAAAGCAUCACCGGAAUCCCGAUGCACAAGAUAUCUCGUCAAAGGUAAAACUAAUCCAGCAAGGCCGCCCGACGUGUCGACGAUCCCGAUAGGAGUCGCGUACCUCGUUCUCAGGACACGACGGAUGAGCGAUGGUUACCACGCCAAACGCCGAGUUGCC
rnacentral:lncRNA from 1 species